rnacentral:rRNA from 1 species
AUUGAACGCUGGCGGCAGGCUUAACACAUGCAAGUCGAACGAGUGGCGGACGGGUGAGUAAUGUCUGGGAAACUGCCUGAUGGAGGGGGAUAACUACUGGAAACGGUAGCUAAUACCGCAUACCAUCGGAUGUGCCCAGAUGGGAUUAGCUGGUUGGUGGGGUAAAGGCUCACCAAGGCGACGAUCCCUAGCUGGUCUGAGAGGAUGACCAGCCACACUGGGACUGAGACACGGCCCAGACUCCUACGGGAGGCAGCAGUGGGGAAUAUUGCACAAUGGGCGCAAGCCUGACGCAGCCAUGCCGCGUGUAUGAAGAAGGCCUUCGGGUUGUAAAGUACUUUCGGCAGGGAGGCGUUACCCACAGAAGAAGCACCGGCUAACUCCGUGCCAGCAGCCGCGGUAAUAC